GGGGAUGGGGGUGGGAGGAAUAGAUGUGUACACGGGUCAGAGUAAUGGGAGUCUCUUUUUCUGGUCUUCUCAUUCAAGAACAAGCCGGCGGAGAGAGGAGGACACGCGCGCGCACACGCACGGGGAGAGAUCUUGCGGGUGAUGAAUAUGAUAAUUGGACAAGGGACGGGAUGAAAAAGCUGAGGCUUGCAGAGACUGGUCAACUUGCUCCACAUCACGUGGUUGGCAAAGGCAGCACCAGAAGUCAAAGCCCAUGCUCUUCACCACUUGAUCUUCUGUGUUUUCAUCUAUGUUUCCAUCAAGGGAAUUUCUGAUCUUAAUUUCAUUUCUCAGGCAUGUGAAGAGCUGCUUUGGAACCAGGAUGUCCGCAAAGUCAAGAAGGUCAAACUGAAGCCUCUCCAUGAAGAUCUCCAUGAACCUGAGGUCCUCAUGAAGUGCUUCUAUCCUUGCAUCCAUCCAGUUGCUAUGGCGGGAUGUUGGGUGGGUUCCAUUCUUUGCUAAGAGAUUGGGUAUCAACAUGUGGAAGAAGGAUCUGACCGCUAAGGCAAUAAUAAAAAAUGAAGCCAGGAUUCAUAUUCAGCCGGUAGGUAUGAAGGUGACAGAUUUUUCCCAGUCAGAAUCUGCUCCCAUUGGUCAGUGGCCACAGUGGGCUGCUUAUUAUAUGUACUGACUCUCACUCCUGGAUAAAGCUUGUUUGCUGCUGGUUUUGCAGAGGCUCUUCUUGGUUCUGUGCUCUGCCUGGUGCCAACUCUUUUCCCAUCUGCCUCCUGAGAACAUAGAGGUAUCACGGGAAAUAAGCACAGGGGCUCCAGGUGGGGCCUCACGUGGUGCUGACACAAUGUAGCAGGUCCCCAUUGCCCUGGUGUCCCCCAGAGCCUGAGGGGGUGCGUCCAUUCAACUGGCUCAGUGCUGAGAACAGGAGCCAGAUCUUCUUCAAUCCUUCAUCAUGACAAUCCUGUGCUGAUGUUUAAACAGUGCUCAAAAUACAUUCAAUGAGUGAAUAAACCCUCCAGAAAGUAUCCAAGCAUCAGAUACAGUUUAGGGAGCUGUUGGCUUAUUCGUGGUGGAGGGUGAAUUAAAAAGACUAGAUCACAUCCCUCAGGGAAUUCCAGUGUAUGGUGGAUGAUUCCAUCACUACGUGACAAAGAUAAAGGACAUGCAGAUGGGCAUUUUAUGAGUGCAAACGGAUUUAAUUUUUAAAAGUCAAGGUCAUCAUUAAGGAAAACGAAAGAAGCAAGAGAAGGACAAGUAGAGGUUUUUUUUUUUGUUUUUUUUUAAUUGGAUGUAAAGGCCCCAGGAGAAGCAAAUUCCUCUGGAAACAGCCCAGCCUGUGGCAUUUCUUCUUUUUCCAAAGGCUGGUUUUGUUGGGUUUUUAACUGAGAGCCUCAGGAUGGAAGGAGAAGCUAUCUCCCCAGCACAGAGUUUUCCCCCUCUUUUCCAAAGGGAAGGCAGAUUUGGGAAACUGGCACUGCCCCUACCCAGAUGGCAGCCAGCAGCUGGCUCUGGCAAGGGCAAGUUCUCACUCCCGGCUGCGGGCUGCCCGGCCCCUCCCGUUCCCCCAGCAAGGCCGGGCCAUUAGGAAGCGGAGAAUGCGAGGGCCGGGCCGUGCCAGCGGCUCCUCACCACCCUGACCCGGCUUCCCUGGCUCCGGCACCCGGGCCCACAGCCGGGGAGCCGGGGAGCGGACCCAGAGGCCCCAGCCAGCAGCCUUAGCCUCCUGCUUCCCGCCUCAGCUGCUGACUUGGCCCUGUGCUGGACCGCACGAUGGCCGCUGACAUCCACGGGGCCGGCGAGCGAGGGACAAAGAGUGGCAGUGACUUCAGGGCGCCUGGCCUGGCUACAGCACCGCUGGCUGGCUGGGGUGCCAGGGCUCGGAUGGUCAGCCUGGUGGCCCGUGGCUGCCCCUGUCCCGUACCAGACACGCCCCGUCGCUCCCCAGAUCGCACCUAUCCCCGUGGUCUUCACCCGAGGCACAUUUUUCUUUCUCCCAGCUUUUCUUCCUUUUCCUUCUUCCUCCUCCCUCUUUCUUCCUUGUGUUCCCUUCUCCUCUCCUCUGUUCUCCUCUUUUCUCUUCCGUUCCUCCCUCUCCUCCACCCCCUUCUCACUUCACAGAGUGUCUUUCUCCUACUUCUUCACUUUCCUCCUCUUUACUUUUUUCUUCAAACGUGUAUUAACUACACCUUCUCUAUCAGUCCCUCUAUGAGCCUCUGGCAGGACACAGAUGCCAUACACUUGGCCCUGCCCCUGACAUUUGCACAUGAGAUGAGUCUAUGACAGCUGAUGAAGACCGAGUGUGUGAAGUACCACACAUGCCCACAAAUGACUGGGGAAACAGAGGCAAGGGUCACUGGUUUCUGCCUGACCCAUUUUGGGGAAAAGUUUGCUGAGGAGCUGCCAUUUUUCAGUUUGGUUGCUCACUCGGCUUUGUAUGUUCCCAAGGAAAGAUAUAGAUUUCCAGGUCUGGUUGGAAAAAUGGAAGCUUUGAUUUUUGUUUCAGUUUCUGUUUAUGAAUUCAGAUUCUAAGGCUUUGAAUUUCCAUUAAAUCCAGUUUAUCUACUUUUUUUUCUUUUGUGGACAGUGCUUUUGCUAUUGUAUCAAAGAGCUUUUUGCAACUAGCCCAAUGUUGUAAAGAUUUUCUGCUGUAUUUACUAUUAGAAAUUUCAUAAAUUUGCAAUUACAUUUACAGACUAUGAACCAUUUUGAGUGAAUUUUUGUAUAUAGUAUGUAUAGAGGGUGUUUUUUGUUUUGUUUUGUUUUGUUUUGCAUCGUUGUCGUUUAGUCGCUAAAUUGUGCCUG